UUAAAUCAUUAAAUAAAAAGGAUUUGGCGGUAUUUUAAAUAAUUAGAGGAACCUGUGUAAUAAUUGAUAAUCCACGAUAAGAUAAACUUAAAAAUUUAUGUAUUGCUGUUUUAAGAUUAUUAUUAAUUAAAUAUUUAUUUUUUUAUUUUAAAAUAAUUCAAGUCAAAAUAUAGUUUUGUUAAGUAAUGGGUUACAAUAAAAAUUUYAAAUUGGAUUUAAUAGUMA
rnacentral:rRNA from 1 species